UCCCUUCUCAGGAAGCUCGGGUCUCCCUGGGAGCCUGGCUGCCCUUGGGGGAGGCCUCUGAGCUGUGUGCCCUGCAGCUCCGCUAGCUUUCGGGGUGACAUUAGAGGGGCUCUGCGCCCCCCGCGUGGCUCGCGCUAAGCCCAACAGGAGGGAGCCUCUCGGCGGAGGAGUGAGGAGGACGGGAGGGAGAGGCGCGCCAGAGCCUCGGUCCCGGGCGCCCUGGUCGGCCGCGGAGGAACUGCAGCCUCCAACAGGAAGUUAAGCAUCUCUGCUGUGCUAUCUACUCUGCUUGGUGUCUGACUCUCCUGCAUCCCAGCUCAUCCAGGAAGCACAGAUGAGAAAACUGAAGCUCAGAGAACAGUCCAGUGCACAGGGAUGGCAGGUGGCUAAGGCUGAGUUCCUAUCUACUGUUCUUGUCGGUGGUUCAGGAGCCCGUGCAGACGGGGACGCCACGGUCCGUGUUUAACAGAUGAAUGAGGCAACUGAUGAGUCCUGUGUGGGAAAAAGAAGGUGGGACUGGGUCACCACCGGCUCUUUGCUCUUUCUGCUGACUCACAGCACCCUCCUCCUCUCCCUCCUCCUCUCUGCCCUCAUCCCCUCAUCUUGGUGUCCAUUUCCUGCUUCUGCAAAGACAGAAGGACCAUGGAUGAAGCAGCCGACCUCAGCUCUCCCGCAGGUUAGCAGGCCAAGCUUAAUCACCCCCACCUCUAGCCUCCUUCCAUCCUCGAUGUCUCUUCCCCACCACCCACCACCAGUGAUCCAACGUGCAUAGUUGUAAACUUGUUUCUUUAAAUAAACAGCCUCGAGUUUCAUAGCAAA
rnacentral:lncRNA from 1 species